rnacentral:rRNA from 1 species
AUUGAACGCUACGCGGGGAGUGCCUUACACAGUGCAAGUCGAACGGCAGCGAUAAGGAGAGGCUUGCUCUCUUGAUGGCGAGUGGCGAACGGGUGAGUAAUGUAUCGGAACGUGCCCAGUAGCGGGGGAUAACUACGCGAAAGCGUAGCUAAUACCGCAUACGCCCUACGGGGGAAAGGAGGGGAUCCGCAAGGACCUUUCACUAUUGGAGCGGCCGAUAUCGGAUUAGCUAGUUGGUGAGGUAACGGCUCACCAAGGCGACGAUCGGUAGCCGGACUGAGAGGUUGAACGGCCACAUUGGGACUGAGACACGGCCCAG